AGCAGUCGCCGCGGUAAUACGGAGGGGGCUAGCGUUGUUCGGAAUUACUGGGCGUAAAGCGCACGUAGGCGGUUAUUCAAGUCAGAGGUGAAAGCCCGGGGCUCAACCCCGGAACUGCCUUUGAAACUAGAUGACUAGAAUCUUGGAGAGGCCAGUGGAAUUCCGAGUGUAGAGGUGAAAUUCGUAGAUAUUCGGAAGAACACCAGUGGCGAAGGCGACUGACUGGACAAGUAUUGACGCUGAGGUGCGAAAGCGUGGGGAGCAAACAGGAUUAGAUACCCCAGUAGUCCCUGUCUCUUAUAC
rnacentral:rRNA from 1 species